UGUCUUACAGUCGCGUAUUUCACUAUCUCCUUUUGGAGAUAGUACAUUCCUCAAAAACAAGGACUGUGCCUUACUUUAUUUUUUCUUUCUAUCCUUUCUAGCCCAAAGCAUCCUCAGAGACCACUUAGUCAAACUUUUCAACUGGCUGCUGAGAACUAAGAGCUAAGAGUUAGCAGACGGACCAGAAUGAAGACCCACAUGUCCGCAUCCCAGACCUGACAUCGCCCCGCUAAUCUCCCUCACUGUUGCUGCUGUCCGAAGCCUCCUCAGCCUUCUGCAUUGUUGUGUCCACAAGGAAGCAAAGGAAAGCACCAGUCAUCUGGGGAUGAGGACACAGGCAGCAAGAAGAUUAAAUGAGAUACUGAACAGAAAAGGCACAGUGCAUGCAUCUGUGGAGGACUCAGUAAGUAGUGUCGUGACCUAAGGGUGUGCCUUUAUUCCUGUAUGUCUUAUUUUAUUUUUUAAUUGAAGCAUAGUUGAUUUACGAUGUUGUGUCAAUGUCUGCAGUACAGCACAUGACUCAGUCAUCCAUAUAUAUAUAUAUAUAUAUAUAUACACAUAUACUCUUUUUUAAUAUUAUUUUCCAUCAUGGUCUAGCCUAAAAGAUUAGAUGUAGUUCCCUUUGCUAUACAGUAAGACCUCAUUGCUUAUCCAUUCUAAAAGUAAUGGUUUGCAUUUGCUAACCACAAAUUCCCAGUCCAUCCCAUCCCCCCACCCCCCCGCUGUAGCAACAACAAGUCUGUUCUUCAUGUCUGUGAGUCUAUUUCUAUUUUGUAGAUAGGUUCAUUUUCUCAUAUUUUGGAUUCCACAUAUAAGGGAUGUCAUAUGGUAUUUGUCCUUCUUUUUCUGACUUACUUCACUAAGUAUGAUAAUCUCUAGUUGCAUCCACACUGCUG
rnacentral:lncRNA from 1 species